AGACCCGAAACCCGGUGAUCUAGCCAUGGGCAGGUUGAAGGUUGGGUAACACUAACUGGAGGACCGAACCGACUAAUGUUGAAAAAUUAGCGGAUGACCUGUGGCUGGGGGUGAAAGGCCAAUCAAACCGGGAGAUAGCUGGUUCUCCCCGAAAGCUAUUUAGGUAGCGCCUCGUGAAUUCAUCUCCGGGGGUAGAGCACUGUUUCGGCUAGGGGGCCAUCCCGGCUUACCAACCCGAUGCAAACUGCGAAUACCGGAGAAUGUUAUCACGGGAGACACACGGCGGGUGCUAACGUCCGUCGUGAAGAGGGAAACAACCCAGACCGCCAGCUAAGGUCCCAAAGUCAUGGUUAAGUGGGAAACGAUGUGGGAAGGCCCAGACAGCCAGGAUGUUGGCUUAGAAGCAGCCAUCAUUUAAAGAAAGCGUAAUAGCUCACUGGUCGAGUCGGCCUGCGCGGAAGAUGUAACGGGGCUAAACCAUGCACCGAAGCUGCGGCAGCGACACUCAGGUGUUGUUGGGUAGGGGAGCGUUCUGUAAGCCUGCGAAGGUGGCCUGUGAGGGUUGCUGGAGGUAUCAGAAGUGCGAAUGCUGACAUAAGUAACGAUAAAGCGGGUGAAAAGCCCGCUCGCCGGAAGACCAAGGGUUCCUGUCCAACGUUAAUCGGGGCAGGGUGA
rnacentral:rRNA from 1 species